rnacentral:rRNA from 1 species
CGGCGGACGGGUGAGUAAUGCCUAGGAAUCUGCCCGGUAGUGGGGGACAACGUUUCGAAAGGAACGCUAAUACCGCAUACGUCCUACGGGAGAAAGCAGGGGACCUUCGGGCCUUGCGCUAUCAGAUGAGCCUAGGUCGGAUUAGCUAGUUGGUGAGGUAAUGGCUCACCAAGGCGACGAUCCGUAACUGGUCUGAGAGGAUGAUCAGUCACACUGGAACUGAGACACGGUCCAGACUCCUACGGGAGGCAGCAGGU